AUGGAUAUUUUUCCAAGUAGGGAAGGCCAAAAGUUUUCUCUUUCACAUGGAGCACCAAUCUGCAAUUGGCUGUGGCAUAUAUUAUCACGGUCACUAUGUUUUUAUCUGGUGAUCUAUACUCUGAAUAUGAAUUCUUCUCUUUUCUGUGUACCUUGGGAUUCUAGUUUUCUUGAUUCCUUAAAUUCCAUGUGA